AUGGGAAGAGCACUUUGUAUACUAACCUGCUCAAUGGAGCAAUGUACAAACUUGUAUACUAAUAGAAAUAUCAUAGUUUUAAAUUCACAGGAAAGGACACAUGUACACUGGACGUUCCUUCUAGGCCAAAAUAAAAAUAUCCACACGAUGGCUGAGAAUAACCUGAUGGGAAGAGCACUUUGUAUACUAAUUUGUUCAAUGGAGCAAUUUACAAAUGUGCAUACUGUUAGAAACAUCAGAGUUCUAAAUUCAGAUGAAAGGACUCCUGCACACUGGGCGUUCCUUCCAAGCCAAAAGAAAAACCUCAACGCCAUGGCUGAGGCCCUGCCUCGUCACACCAAUGCGUUCCCUCUAGCAUGA
rnacentral:rRNA from 1 species